UCUGUACCACCCUGAAGGUACCCAAUCUCAUCUGAUCUUGGAAGCUAAGCAGAGUUGGGUCUGAUUAGCAUUUGGAUGGGAAACAGAUUCAAAUUUAUGAACAAAA
ensembl:rRNA 5S_rRNA 5S ribosomal RNA